UAGACUAGGAGAUAAUUGUAAGA
rnacentral:piRNA from 1 species